AGAGGAAGGGAGAGAUUACACACGAUGUUGCAGCGUACAUCACUGCUUUGCCGCAAGGCGCUUCAGGCCUAUCCGGUGCCGCCGCGCGCGCGCAACUAUGAGCGUCGUUGGAGUAGCUCUCGUACGAAUCCAUACAACCGCAUGUUUUGGCGCACCGUGCUGAACGAGGAUUUCGCGCGUCCAUCAUUUUGGGUCUCUGAUUUCCGCCACAAGUACUUAGCUAAACACGGAAUGGACUACCAAGGGCGUGUGCCCGCCUCGCCGGCACCAGGCAUGUAUCAGGGCUUUAGCGAUGUGCACAAGAUUCUCGCCAACCAUCCAAAGCCGCAGCGCGAAUCUCGACACCUGCCAGUGAUGCCCAUGACGCCGCGCGUCGUGUUCGAACACGCGCAAGAGAAGCGUAUCGACUACGCGAAGAAGAUGCAUCGCGACCGGCGAUUGGUUGAGCAGCUGCGCACACACGAAUUCUGGGGCUGGUACAUGAAACUGCAACGGGUGCGUGGACGCUGGUGUAAGGAGCAUGGGGUGUCGAGCCGUGGCGUGUACGGGCCAGCUGUAGACGCAGCGGAGCUCUGGGGAUAGAGGAGGUGGUUGGUGCAGUGAUACUGGGUGGACUGUGGCUUACCUUUUUUUUUGAAUUCCACAUGCCUGGCGUGGAUGCCGAGGGGUUUGGGUAUGUGCCUACGGUGUGCACGUGAAGAGGCUACCACGCCUGGCGAUUGUUGCUGCAAGUGAGCAACUGGGUGCGCGCACGUUGGUGCAGGAGUGCGUGCUCACUCCGUCGUCUGCAGCAGCGCACUGUUGCACUGCUUGCCGUUGCCUUUUUUAUUAUAUUUUACACCCUCUUUGCCGUAUCCGUCCCCCUCCCUGUUUUCACAGUAUAAGCGAACGAGGUGCAUCCGUGCACACGCCCACCAAGAAGCUGAAAGGGCGAAGUAAAUCUUCGAAUCAACACAAGGAGAAAGAGCACAUCGUACCCUUCGUAGGCCUCUGUUGACGAGACUGCGCGGUGUUUUCGUUCUUUUUUUUCCUCUUCUUUUUGUGGCUUUUCCCUGUGUGCGUGGGCGUGCUGCUUCACCUUUUUAUAUCCUUGCACAUUGCUCGUGCUCUGCAACGGGGCAAGAGGGGGCACGUGGUGGUGGCGCCACGGCCGCUGUGCCGCCUAUGGACGCUGCUUCACUUCUGUCGCGGUGUGAGGCUUCGCCUGUGUGUUUGUGUCUCUAUUUCUUCUUUCCACAGCACUCGUUGCCGUGGAGGAGCGGCGGAGGGAUACAGGAACGGCCCAGGAUGUCGCAGUGCCCCGUCGCCAGAAGUGACGCAGCUCCAUCACGUGUGCAAGUCUUUUUCGUUUGCGUCUGCUGCACCCCACAUUAUUCUCUCUCCCUCUUCCGUACCCCCUCGCCCCUUCCCCACAAACAUACGACUACACUCACACACCCCGAUGAG
rnacentral:misc_RNA from 1 species